rnacentral:misc_RNA from 1 species
GAAAUGCGAUAAGUAAUGUGAAUUGCAGAAUUCAGUGAAUCAUCGAAUCUUUGAACGCACAUUGCGCCCACCAGUAUUCUGGCGGGCAUGCCUGUUCGAGCGUCAUUUCAACCAUCAAGCCCCCGGGCUUGUGUUGGGGACCUGCGGCUGCCGCAGGCCCCGAAAACCAGUGGCGGGCUCGCUGUCACACCGGGCGUAGUAGAUUUUUCGUCUCGCCCAGGGCGUGCUGCGGGUUCCGGCCGUUAAAAAGCCUCUCUUUUAACCCAAGGUUGACCUCGGAUCAGGUAGGAAGACCCGCUGAACUUAAGC